AUCGCGUCAACCCAGGGAGGGAUGAGAAUCCUCGACCUGGGUUCGACCACUGGCGCAGCCAGUGGGACAGUCUGCGAGCCUCGCGAGCAGACUGCCCGAAGGGUGAGGCCCAACGGGCCGAAUCAAUCCCUCCCUCACCGCCA
rnacentral:sRNA from 1 species